GAUGAACGCUGGCGGCGUGCCUAAUACAUGCAAGUCGUGCGGAAAGGCCCCUUCGGGGGUACUCGAGCGGCGGACGGGUGAGUAACGCGUAAGAAUCUACCCCAAACUGAGGGAUAACUGCUCGAAAGAGUAGCUAAUACCGCAUGUGCUCUACGGAGUAAAGCUUCGGCGGUUUGGGAAGGGCUUGCGUCUGAUUAGCUAGUUGGUGAGGUAACGGCUCACCAAGGCGACGAUCGGUAGCAGGUUUGAGAGGAUGAUCAGCCACACUGGGACUGAGACACGGCCCAGACUCCUACGGGAGGCAGCAGUAGGGAAUUUUUUUCAAUGGGCGAAAGCCUGAUGGAGCAACGCCGCGUGCAGGAUGAAGGCCUUCGGGUCGUAAACUGCUUUUCUCUGUGACGAUUAUGACGGUAGCAGAGGAAUAAGGGUCGGCUAACUACGUGCCAGCAGCCGCGGUAA
rnacentral:rRNA from 1 species